GGGCCCGCACAAGCAGUGGAGCAUGUGGUUUAAUUCGAUGCAACGCGAAGAACCUUACCAGGGCUUAAAUGUAAGUUGCAUUAGUUAGAGAUAGCUAUUUCUUCGGACUACUUACAAGGUGCUGCAUGGUUGUCGUCAGCUCGUGCCGUGAGGUGUCAGGUUAAGUCCUAUAACGAGCGCAACCCCUGUUGUUAGUUGCCAUCGAGUCAUGUCGGGAACUCUAACAAGACUGCCGGUGCAAACCGUGAGGAAGGUGGGGAUGACGUCAAAUCAUCACGGCCCUUACGUCCUGGGCUACACACGUGCUACAAUGGCCGGUACAGAGAGCAGCCACUACGCGAGUAGGCGCGAAUCUUCAAAGCCGGUCUCAGUUCGGAUCGGAGUCUGCAACUCGACUCCGUG
rnacentral:rRNA from 1 species